rnacentral:rRNA from 1 species
UUUUUGUUGAAGGUUAUGUUUAUUUGUGUUUAAGUUUUUUAAAGCAUGUAGGAUUAUAGUAUUGGAGAUAGAAAUUAAGAAAGAGCGGGCUAGUACUGUUAAGGAAUAGAUUUGGAGGGGAAAAAAGUUUUUGUUUCGUACUUCUUGUAUCAUGGAUUAAUUAGUUUUGAAAGUUAUGUUUGUUUCUCGAAGCCUUAUGAGUUACUUUUGUUAUGUUGAGGACUUCUCGUUUAUUGUUGCAUAACUAUCGAUAUAAGCAAAAGUGGUAAUGAUAUGUUAUUCGUAUAAGGGUAUAGCUUGUUUUCACUUUUAGGUCUUUUAGGAUCUGUUGGUUGGUUUUAAGUAGUUUUAUGUUUUUGGGGAUAAGCUCGAAAAUAGUUUUAAAAGUGUUAGUUAUUAUCGGAAAAAAAUGGGCAUAAAAGCUGCUUUUUUUGGUAAGUUCGUUUUAGAUUAAAGUGAGUUGUGAGUGGUUUUAAGUUGUAUUGAGUGAAAGAGCUUGUUAAUAAAGAAUGAGGGGGGAUAAUGUUAAUAUUAGUACUGGAAAUAUUUUGGUUUUAUUUAAUUUGUUUAGGCACAUAACUUUGUUCUUAAGGUUUUGUUUUAUUAGUAGUGGAAAAGGAAUUCGACAAAUAAAAAAUUCAGCUGUUUAACAAAAACAUAGCCUAUUGGUUUUUUAUAAUAGGUUUUUUCUGCCCAAUGCUUUAGUAGUGAAUGGCCGCGGUAUCUUGACCGUGCAAAGGUAGCAUAAUCAUUUGUCUUUUAAUUGGGGACUGGUAUGAAGGAAAGGUUGAGAUUUUGGUUGUCUCUUUCAUUAGUUUGGAAUUUGCUGUUUUUGUGAAGAAGCAAGAGUGAGAAAAGAGGACAAGAAGACCCUAUUAAGCUUUAUUUUUAAGUCUUGUGUUGUUUUUGUUUGUAGAAAUAUUAAAAUAUGAGUUUAAAAUUUGGUUGGGGUGACUAAAGAAGCGGGUUAUCUUCUUUAUUGUAAUAAACUUUUAGUUUAAUGGAGACCCAGAUUUUCUGGUUGUAAGAAUUAGUUACUAUAGGGAUAACAGCGUAAUCUCUUCGGAAAGUUCUUAUUGAGGAAGAGGUUUGCGACCUCGAUGUUGACUUAUCGUUACCUUUUAAGGUGUAGCAGCUGUUAGGGUUAGUCUGUUCGACUAUUAAAACGAUACGUGAGUUGAGUUCAGACCGGUGUGAGCCAGGUUGGUUUCUAUCCUUUUUGUUUUUGGGGGUGAGCGGUUAGUACGAAAGGAUUGCCGUUUUGUAUAAUUGGGUAUAUU